UACGGAGGGUGCGAGCGUUGUCCGGAAUUACUGGGCGUAAAGGGCUCGUAGGUGGCCAACUAAGUCAGACGUGAAAUCCCUCGGCUUAACCGGGGAACUGCGUCUGAUACUGGAUGGCUAGAGUUUGGGAGAGGGAUGCGGAAUUCCAGGUGUAGCGGUGAAAUGCGUAGAUAUCUGGAGGAACACCGGUGGCGAAGGCGGCAUCCUGGACCGGCAUUGACGCUGAGGCGCGAAAGCCAGGGGAGCAAACGGG
rnacentral:rRNA from 1 species